AUUGAACGCUGGCGGCAGGCCUAACACAUGCAAGUCGAGCGAGCGGCGGACGGGUGAGUACUGUAUGGGGACUGCCCGAUAGAGGGGGAUAACUCAUGGAAACGGUAGCUAAUAACGCAUACUAUCGGAUUACCUAUAUGGGAUUAGCUAGUAGGUUAGGUAAUGGCUAACCAAGGCGACGAUCCCUAGCUGGUCUGAGAGGAUGAGCAGCCACACUGGGACUGAGACACGGCCCAGACUCCUACGGAGGCAGCAGUGGGGAAUAUUGAACAAUGGGCUCAAGCCUGAUGCAGCCAUGCCGCGUGUAUGAAGAAGGCCCUAGGGUUGUAAAGUACUUUAAGUCGGGAGGCGUUACCGACAGAAGAAGCACCGGCUAACUCCGUGCCAGCAGCCGCGGUAAUAC
rnacentral:rRNA from 1 species